rnacentral:rRNA from 1 species
UACGUAGGGUGCGAGCGUUAAUCGGAAUUACUGGGCGUAAAGGGUGCGCAGGCGGCCGCGCAAGUCGAGUGUGAAAGCCCCGAGCUUAACUUGGGAAUUGCGCUCGAAACUACGUGGCUGGAGUGUGGCAGAGGAAGGUGGAAUUCCAGGUGUAGCGGUGAAAUGCGUAGAGAUCUGGAGGAACACCGAUGGCGAAGGCAGCCUUCUGGGCCAACACUGACGCUCAUGCACGAAAGCGUGGGGAGCAAACAGG